GACGAACGCUGGCGGCGUGCCUAAUACAUGCAAGUCGAGCGAAGUUUUUCUGGUGCUUGCACUAGAAAAACUUAGCGGCGAACGGGUGAGUAACACGUAAAGAACCUGCCUCAUAGACUGGGACAACUAUUGGAAACGAUAGCUAAUACCGGAUAACAGCAUUAACUGCAUGGUUGAUGUUUAAAAGUUGGUUUUGCUAACACUAUGAGAUGGCUUUGCGGUGCAUUAGCUAGUUGGUGGGGUAAAGGCCUACCAAGGCGACGAUGCAUAGCCGACCUGAGAGGGUGAUCGGCCACAAUGGGACUGAGACACGGCCCAGACUCCUACGGGAGGCAGCAGUAGGGAAGCUUCCGCAAUGGGCGAAAGCCUGACGGAGCAACGCCGCGUGAGUGAAGAAGGAUUUCGGUUCGUAAAGCUCUGUUGUUAGGGAAGAAUGAUUGUGUAGUAACUAAACACAGUAGAGACGGUACCUAACCAGAAAGCAACGGCUAACUACGUG
rnacentral:rRNA from 1 species